rnacentral:miRNA from 1 species
CGAUAUGUGGUAAUUUGGAUGA